rnacentral:rRNA from 1 species
UGAGGAAUAUUGGACAGUGGGCGCAAGCCUGAUCCAGCCAUGCCGCGUGCAGGAUGACGGUCCUAUGGAUUGUAAACUGCUUUUGUACAGGAAGAAACAGUUCUACGUGUAGAACCUUGACGGUACUGUAAGAAUAAGGAUCGGCUAACUCCGUGCCAGCAGCCGCGGUAAUACGGAGGAUCCAAGCGUUAUCCGGAAUCAUUGGGUUUAAAGGGUCCGUAGGCGGUUAGAUAAGUCAGUGGUGAAAGCCCAUCGCUCAACGGUGGAACGGCCAUUGAUACUGUCUGACUUGAAUUAUUAGGAAGUAACUAGAAUAUGUAGUGUAGCGGUGAAAUGCUUAGAGAUUACAUGGAAUACCAAUUGCGAAGGCAGGUUACUACUAAUGGAUUGACGCUGAUGGACGAAAGCUAGGGUAGCGAAGAGGAUUAGAUACCCCCGUAGUCCCUGAGCGGGCUGGCAAGGCGCAU